GGAUGAACGCUAGCGAUAGGGUUUAACACAUGCAAGUCGAGGGGCAGCAUAAAGGCAGCAAUGUCUUAGUGGCGACCGGCGCACGGGUGAGUAACACGUAUGCAACCUGCCCACAACUGCGGGAUAACCCGUCGAAAGACGGACUAAUACCGCAUGGUAUGGAUUGAUCGCCUGAUUGAUUCAUCAAAGAAUUUCGGUUGUGGAUGGGCAUGCGUUCCAUUAGCCAGAUGGUGAGGUAACGGCUCACCAUAGCAAUGAUGUCUAGGGGUUUUGAGAGGAAGGCCCCCCACACUGGGACUGAGACACGGCCCAGACUCCUACGGGAGGCAGCAGUGAGGAAUAUUGGUCAAUGGAGGCAACUCUGAACCAGCCACGUCGCGUGAAGGAUGACGGCCCUACGGGUUGUAAACUUCUUUUGUAAGGGAAUAAAGUUAGUUACGUGUAACUAUUUGCAUGUACCUUACGAAUAAGGAUCGGCUAACUCCGUGCCAGCAGCCGCGGUAAUACGGAGGAUCCAAGCGUUAUCCGGAUUUAUUGGGUUUAAAGGGUGCGUAGGCGGAAGAUUAAGUCGGUGGUGAAAUUUUGCAGCUUAACUGUAACAGUGCCGUUGAUACUGUUUGGCUAGGAUUUGGUUGUAGUGUGCGGAAUGUGUGGUGUAGCGGUGAAAUGCUUAGAUAUCACACAGAACACCGAUUGCGAAGGCAGCACACUAAGUCAUUAUUGACGCUGAGGCACGAAAGUGUGGGGAUCAAACAGGAUUAGAUACCCUGGUAGUCCACACUGUAAACGAUGAAUACUAGGUGUAGGGGUUGUCAUGACCUCUGUGCCGCCGCUAACGCAUUAAGUAUUCCGCCUGGGGAGUACGGUCGCAAGAUUAAAACUCAAAGGAAUUGACGGGGGCCCGCACAAGCAGCGGAGCAUGUGGUUUAAUUCGAAGCAACGCGAAGAACCUUACCUAGACUUGACAUCUCCUGCAUUACUCUUAAUCGAGGAAGUCUCUUCGGAGACAGGAUGACAGGUGGUGCAUGGUUGUCGUCAGCUCGUGUCGUGAGAUGUUGGGUUAAGUCCCGCAACGAGCGCAACCCUUAUUGUUAGUUGCCAUCAUUAAGUUGGGCACUCUAGCGAGACUGCCCGGGUUAACCGGGAGGAAGGUGGGGAUGACGUCAAAUCAUCAUGCCCCUUAUGUCUAGGGCUACACACGUGCUACAAUGGUCGGUACAAUAAGACGCAAGCCCGCGAGGGGGAGCAAAACUGGAAAACCGAUCUCAGUUCGGAUUGUAGGCUGAAACUCGCCUACAUGAAGCUGGAGUUGCUAGUAAUCGCGAAUCAGCAUGUCGCGGUGAAUACGUUCCCGGGCCUUGUACACACCGCCCGUCAAG
rnacentral:rRNA from 1 species